GUAGUCUCAGGUUUUACUUAUAUUUAAAUUUGGUUAAGUUGAAAGAGUACUAUAUUGUAUCAGUUCAUUGAGUCUGAUAUGUAGGACUGUCCUUCUGGCAAAAGUAGGUCACUGGCAUCUAACUUUUAUUCAUGUUUAAAUCAGAUUAGAUUCAAUUUAAAUCCAAAAAUAAGUCUAUGUCUUUCAUAUUUUGUAUAGUGGGGG
rnacentral:lncRNA from 1 species